UCUUCGGAAGCGGACUGAUCUGACUGAGUGGCGGACGGGUGAGUAACGCGUGGGUAACCUGCCUCACACAGGGGGAUAACAGUUGGAAACGGCUGCUAAUACCGCAUAAGCGCACAGUACCGCAUGGUACAGUGUGAAAAACUCCGGUGGUGUGAGAUGGACCCGCGUCUGAUUAGCUAGUUGGCAGGGCAACGGCCUACCAAGGCGACGAUCAGUAGCCGACCUGAGAGGGUGACCGGCCACAUUGGGACUGAGACACGGCCCAAACUCC
rnacentral:rRNA from 1 species